AGUAGUGCACAUUGGAUGGCUAGAUGUGCUCUUUCAUUGAACUCAGUGUCUAUUCCACAUUCAGUUCAGUUGACUAGCAUAGAAAUACAUUAGCCAAAAGAUAGUGAUGUUGUUGUUAUUUUUCUACCAUUUUAUUUUUAUUAUUUAUUUAUUUAUGUUUUUGAGAUGGAGUUUUGCUCUUGUUACCCAGGCUGGAAUGCGAUGGGGCGAUCUUGGCUCACCGCAACCUCCGCCUCCUGGGUUCAGGCAAUUCUCUUGCCUCAGCCUCCUGAGUAGCUUGGAUUACAGGCACACACCACUGUGCCCAGCUAAUUUUUUGCAUUUUUAGUAGAGACGGGGUUUCACCAUGUUGACCAGGAUGGUCUCAAUCUCUUGACCUCGUGAUCCACCCACCUCGGCCUCCUAAAGUGCUGGGAUUACAGGCGUGAGCCACUGCGCCCAGCAACCAUUUUAUUUUUUGAUAACCUUCUGGAUUCAUACUUAGAUCACACAUAAAACACGUAUCUUUUCUGCAUAUUCUUAAAGGAUCCCAAGAGGAUCUUCUGACAUAAAUCAGGAGAGGUAUAAGCUUAUGUGUCCAUUAAAUGAUAAAAUAAUGUUCAAAUUAUGGAAAUUUCCUUUGCAUCAUUGGUUCAAGGGAAAAAAGAACUGGACUUCUCGUUCAAAUGAACAGGCAGUCACUUUCAAAUAAGCUUCAGCUAGAGGACUGUAAUUUGUCCUCAUCUCCCACUCAGGACAUUCUGUCAGAAUAAAGAUGUCAUGUUACCCCAGGAGAAAUAUUUCCUUGGAGAAGGACAGUGCAGGUUAAGCAUGUCCAUCAACAUGAGCUCAGCAUAUUACCAACAAGUAGUUUGUUUUCUUCCUCUGCAACAGGUUACCCUUGUGACCUGGACUGGGUUUUCUAUGCAGAAUUCCAUAUCUCUGCUGCUGUGGGUGUUGGAGCCAGAAGGAAUAGGGCAUGUCCCUGCAAACCCCAUUGGCUGCUUUCUUGUGCCACUCAAGUUUAAAAAGGCACAUUACCUGUGUCCCUUUGGGGCCUGGGAAGAGGGUUCCUGGAAAUGACGGUGAAAACGGAAUCCGCACUUGUUCCAGGUUUUAUCAUGAAUUACAAUGUGCUUCAAAUAUCAGCCUAACCAACCCAGCUUCCCAGCUAAUUCCAAAGGGAUUAACUCUUUCAGUUCAAGGGGGCUCAAACUCUGAGCUAGCAGAAGUGUGUAUUCAUUCUAAAAUUGGAACAGAACAGGAUAAAACAGACUCUGAGUUUUCCUUAGAGCUUGACUCUUUGCUGUUUCAAAAUCUCUGCUUCUGACUCAACAUUCGUACUGAACCAAAAUGACGAGGACUCCAGAGGAUAAACCUAUGUCAACAGUUUGCAGCCACAGUAAUAUCUCUGCCCUGCCAAGGUUCCAUGUUCAGGUUUUACCUAAAAGUCCUCAAGGGCUUGAUACAUGUGAGUCCUGGACUACUCUCUUAGGUAGACCUUUUAACUAAGUCCACCUUGGUGCUUCUUGCCAGUUAGGCUGGUUUUGCAGACUAAUCUGGAGUCUCGCUUUUGACACCAGGGAACCUGCCUGUUCCUCCCUGACUUGUCUGCUACAGAGCACUGACCAGUAAGCCUCUGAUUCCUGAUGCAGAGUCUUGCUAGUUGUGGCUGCAUAGGCAAGCCAGCUUAACCUCUUUGUGUCUCUGUCUUUUUUUUUUUUUAAUCUGCAAAAUGGAGUUUCAUUAGUUGCUUAUAUGAAUGCUAUGAUCAUUAUGAAUAAUUCAAAUAAUGAAUGCAGAAGUUGCCUUUUCAACAGGUACAUGAGAUGGUCUCAAGUAAUCUUAAUUAAACUUGGGUGUUUGUCUGUGCCUCUAAUAUCUGUCUCUUUACAGCUUUUAUAUCCUCCAGAUGCUUCCAGUGCAGGCCUCAGCUGCCUUGCCCUUCUUCCUUGUUAUUUAUACCCCUUCAAGUGCACACACUGACCUUUGCAUUUGAUGCCUGAAAAAUAAUUUGUUUCAACAUUCUACGUCUAUGUCAAUUAAAAUAAAUUUAAUGCAUUUCUCA
rnacentral:lncRNA from 13 species